GACAGAGGGUGCAAACGUUGUUCGGAUUUACUGGGCGUAAAGCGCGUGUAGGCGGCUUUGCAAGUCGGAUGUGAAAGCCCACGGCUCAACCGUGGAAGUGCAUCCGAAACUGCAUGGCUGGAGUCUCGGAGAGGAAGGUGGAAUGCUUGGUGUAGAGGUGAAAUUCGUAGAUAUCAAGCAGAACACCUGCGGCGAAGGCGGCCCUCUGGACGAUGACUGACGCUGAGACGCGAAAGCGUGGGGAGCAAACAGG
rnacentral:rRNA from 1 species